rnacentral:rRNA from 1 species
AGCAGCCGCGGUAAUUCCAGCUCCAAUAGCGUAUAUUAAAGUUGUUGCAGUUAAAAAGCUCGUAGUUGAAUUUCGGGGUUAGUAGGUUGGUCAUGCCUCUGGUAUGUACUGGUCUCACUGAUUCCUCCUUCCUGAUGAGCCGUAAUGCCACUAAUUUGGUGUUGCGGGGAAUUUGGACUGUUACUUUGAAAAAAUUAGAGUGUUUAAAGCAGGCUCACGCUUGAAUACAUUAGCAUGGAAUAAUGAAAUAGGACGUUUGAUUCUAUUUUGUUGGUUUCUAGGAUCGACGUAAUGAUUAAUAGGGAUAGUUGGGGGCAUUAGUAUUCAAUUGUCAGAGGUGAAAUUCUUGGAUUUAUUGAAGACUAACUACUGCGAAAGCAUUUGCCAAGGAUGUUUUCAUUAAUCAAGAACGAAAGUUAGGGGAUCGAAGACGAUCAGAUACCGUCGUAGUCUUAACCAUAAACUAUGCCGACUAGGGAUCGGAUGAUGUUAAUUUUUAAUGACUCAUUCGGCGUCCG